CCAGACAGCAGUCCUCGUCAGCGGAAGUAAAAGCAGAGAAGAUUUAAAAUGGACAGACGCUUCACUGGGAACAGUGAGCGAAGUGUGAGCUUCAAGGAGCCUUUUUACCCUAAGGCUAGUAGUCCUAGCUAACAGCGACUUCACACAGUUUUGGCCAGAGUUAACUUCCCAGCCAGAAAAACCACACCCACCAAGUCUUCAGCAGGACUGGAAAGUCGGAGGAGACAAGGAAGCGGUGGGACUGGCUUGGGUUCGUCGUAGCGAAUUUUCCAGGGCGCAGGAGGAAGAUCAGGAUGGCAUAAAGCAGACCCAUUGGCAGUUGAGAGUUCAGAGGAGGCCUCCCAGGCUGAAAAGACGAGGCUUUACAGCACACAAACGCUACCAGUUCGGGUUGAGGAAAUUUGGUCAAUAAGCUAACAGUCCGGCAUGAUGGAUUCCUGGGCUUCCUAAACGACGGGGAUGGAAGGGGCCUCGAAAAAAUAAGUGCCGUCACAUGCUCCGUACCAGAGCUGGUUACUUUCUUGAACACUUUUAACGCUAACUCUGCUUGGAGGUGACAUCAAUUCUCCACGGGAGAAUGAAAGCCUGAGACUACAUUUCCCUGCAAGCCUUUG